rnacentral:misc_RNA from 1 species
UGCUGGUAAACCACAGAAGUCAUCUUUGAUUUUGGCAUUCUUUGCUGGCAGCUGACACCAGGCUCCUGAGAGAGACGUCUUUCUCUCUUGUCUCGUGUCUGCGGCCUCUGCAGCGCUCACUGUGGAGCCUGGGCACGCACAGGUCAAUGGCCAGCAAGGAGGGGGGUCCGAGCCGGCGGCGGCGGCGGCAGUGGUGGCAGCGGGAGACAAAUGGAAACCUCCACAGGGCACAGACUCCAUCAAGAUGGAGAACGGGCAGAGCACAGCCGCCAAGCUGGGGCUGCCUCCCCUGACGCCCGAGCAGCAGGAGGCCCUUCAGAAGGCCAAGAAGUACGCCAUGGAGCAGAGCAUCAAGAGUGUGCUGGUGAAGCAGACCAUCGCGCACCAGCAGCAGCAGCUCACCAACCUGCAGAUGGCAGCAGUGACAAUGGGCUUUGGAGAUCCUCUCUCACCUUUGCAAUCGAUGGCGGCUCAGCGGCAGCGGGCGCUGGCCAUCAUGUGCCGCGUCUACGUGGGCUCUAUCUACUAUGAGCUGGGGGAGGACACCAUCCGCCAGGCCUUUGCCCCCUUUGGCCCCAUCAAGAGCAUCGACAUGUCCUGGGACUCCGUCACCAUGAAGCACAAGGGCUUUGCCUUCGUGGAGUAUGAGGUCCCCGAAGCUGCACAGCUGGCCUUGGAGCAGAUGAACUCGGUGAUGCUGGGGGGCAGGAACAUCAAGGUGGGCAGACCCAGCAACAUAGGGCAGGCCCAGCCCAUCAUAGACCAGUUGGCUGAGGAGGCACGGGCCUUCAACCGCAUCUACGUGGCCUCUGUGCACCAGGACCUCUCAGACGAUGACAUCAAGAGCGUGUUUGAGGCCUUUGGCAAGAUCAAGUCCUGCACACUGGCCCGGGACCCCACAACUGGCAAGCACAAGGGCUACGGCUUC